UACGUAGGGUGCGAGCGUUGUCCGGAAUUAUUGGGCGUAAAGAGCUCGUAGGCGGUGUGUCACGUCGGCCGUGAAAACCUGGGGCUUAACUCUGGGCGUGCGGUCGAUACGGGCAUCACUAGAGUUCGGCAGGGGAGACUGGAAUUCCCGGUGUAGAGGUGAAAUUCGUAGAUAUCGGGAGGAACACCGGUGGCGAAGGCGGCCUGCUGGGCUAUGGCUGACACUGAGGCGCGACAGCGUGGGGAGCAAACAGGG
rnacentral:rRNA from 1 species